UCCUUCUCCACGCGCGCCUCCCCGCCCAAUUCUCGCGCACAUAUUUUGAGAAGAGGCCCAUAGGUCAAUAACCCUAUGCUGCCUCAUACAGUUCACCGAAUCCCACUGGCGAGCCACCCCAUCCUCAUCUUCCCCAAAUUACCGUGCGCGCCGGGUUCCCCGCCUCCCAGAUCUGCUUCGCACACUCCCCCUUUUCCAGAAUCACAGCAGGACCGCCGCUCCAAAUCUUCAUUAGGACGCCCAUCUCCCUGCAGACCGCCGCUCUCCUUCUCCCUUGCAGGUCGCCGUGCCGCCCUGGUGCCUGGCGAGGCUGCUGCAGCCCCCAGCGCCACGUCGAGAGGCUGCGGCGGCCCCGACGCCGCCAGAAGGUCUCCGCCCCCACACGCCCUAGCACUGCUGCGCUCCAACGCAGCAGACCCCGCCAGUGCCGCCUCCACGAUGCCGCCACCCCCACGCCGCCCUGGUGCAGGUUCGCCCCGAUGCAGAAAGCCUCUACGCUGGCGCCAUCUCGGGAGACCUCCCAAACGCAGCUGCCCCAUUAGGACUACUCCCCAUCAGGAUUCAUUUGCUCUGAAUCCCCCCGUGCAGGGGACUGAUGGGCUACAUGUAACUUCAUUGCUAUCAAGUGAUGAAAUCCAGGCUCUGCCCAUGGGAGAAUAUUUUGCCUGAUGGCAAAAGAAGAGGAAAGGAUGGCAAGGCGUGAUGUGGAAAUCAUGUACAGAAUAGCGGUGGUGCUAUACACAAUUUAGGUUUCAGAGUGUUAGUGUGCUAUAUUUCUUAACAUUUGUUCUUCAAAUUCUUUUAAUUCUAAUGUUUCAUAUAGAGCCCAAGGUUUGAAGAACAUGAUGAUGAGGCACAAUCCACUACUAGAAAAGAGGGCUUUAGUACCGUUCGAGAAUCCCCGGUUUGUACCGGUUUUCUGACCGGUACCGCCCGGUCAGUACUAAAUGUGCCAGCAUUUAGUACCGGCCAGGCCGACCGGUACUACCAACUGGUACUAAACUGUAUGCUACAUCGCCACUCCUGGUGUAGCAGGUUUGUACCGGUUGGUUUUACCAACCAGUACUAAGUGUUUUUUUGUUUUUUUCCUUUUAAUCAUGUUUCUCCUCUUUUUAUUUUAGUUUUAGUUAAUUAGUAUUCGUAUUUGUAGUUAUUUGCGUAUUUGUAUUCGUAUCUAGCAUUUAUAUAUAUUUGUUCGCGCAAAGCAAAAGCAAUUAUAUAUAUUAUAUUGAUAUACACUUCAUUAAUUACAAUUACUUA